rnacentral:lncRNA from 1 species
GAAAAAGACCUCUUUGUUUAAGCCGGCGGUCCCCAAUCUCUUUGGCACUAGGGACCGGCUCCGUAGAAGACAGUUUUUCCACGGACUGGGGAGGGGAAUGGUUUUGGGAUGAUUCCAGUGCAUCCCGUUUAUUGUGCACUUUAUUUCUAUUAUUAUUACAUCGUAAUAUAUAAUGAAAUAAUUCUACAACUCGCCACGGUGUAGAAUCAGUGGGAGCCCUGAGCUUGUUUUCUUGCAACUAGAUGGUCCCAUCUGGGGUUGAUGGGAGACAGUGACAGAUCAUCAGGCGUUAGAUCUCAUAAGGAGCGGGCAGCCUACAUACCUUUCUUGCACAGUUCACAAUAGGGUUCGUGCUUCUGUGAGAGUCUAAUGCUGCUGCCGAUCUGACAGGAGGCUCUACCAUCUGGCUUGCCCCUACGGUCUCUUAUCCCUUUCGUUGACUGUGGAGGCCACAGGAUGAAACAGAAGAGUCCCAAGAUGCAAACAGCCUGGAUCCCUGAGUCACCCUGUGGAGGAGAGGAACCUUGCCCAAUCUGCAUUGAACUUGACAUGAGAAAUAAACAUUUCUAGUCUAACCGGACAAAUACAUAUAGUUAGAAAGUGUAGGAAGGUGAAUUUACUAGAAAACUCAAGAAGUGACCCAGAAUGGAUCAGCAUAGGGUAAGGCUAGGAUACCUCUCAGAAUUCCUGGCAUUGUAUCUUGCAGUUUGGUACAAGAUGGAAGCUGAGAGAGUGGGACAUUUCCACAAUUAGUUCCAUAGUUAAUUUAGAAUAUAAUUUACAUGAGUGUUAGUAAUGUUGGAAGUCAUAUGGCAGAUUUCUAAUUUAAGUACUGAAGUCAUUCUUGCUCAUGAGUUUCUGAAUGUGAUUAGCCUUUAAAUCAGACCUUGAGUAAAACAGAUUACCCUCUACAGUGUGGAUGGGCCUCAUCCAAUCAGUGGAAGGCAUCAAGAGAAAAGGCUGAGGUCCCCCAGAGAAGAAAGAAUUCUGCCUCUAGACUACCCUUGGACUCAGGACCGCAACACCAACUCUUUGCUUGGUCUCUAGCCUGCUGGCUUGCUUUGCUGGUUUAGGACUUUUAGCCCUCAGAAUUGUGUGAGCCACAAGAAAUAUUAAAUAAAACUCCUCCCUUUCUCUGUUUUGUAUAUACAUACACGUAUAUAUGUAUAUUAUACAUAUACACAUAUAUUUAGUGUACAUAUGAAUAUACAAUGUAUAUUCAUAUAUACAUACGUGAGUGUUUAUACAAUGUAUAUUAGUUUUGUUUCUCUGGAGAACCCCGAAUAAUUCAUAUUUGGGUGCAGAAUGGGA